CAUGUGUCAGUUAAUUAAGCCUGAUAAUUGUAAACUAAUUUUAUCCACGUCUCGAUGCCGCGUCUCUACGCUUUCCUAGAUUCCUAGAUUCGACGAAAUCCCUCUCGAUGUUCCAGUUUCAGAGGAAAGUGUGGCAGUGGUCCAAGGGAAGAGAGGCCAAAUGUAUACCGGAGGCACCGCUCUCCAAUGGUGUACAGGUGCAGCUGCAGCCAAACCUAUCCAUUCGAUGUUGUUUGCCCGAAGAUUGGGAGGGGACAUUCGUCAACAUCAACUGUCAUAGUAUCUGUCCGUAUACUGUAAAAUGUGCGCGCACAUACGCGCAACAUAUGUCUACGUAUCGGUCACUUUCGUACUUUUUUCUUUCUCACCUGGACUUCACCAUUAACCCACUUGCACUUGCGUUUAACACGGCAGCCUCGCCUAACAUAGCCUGUAACUGUAUUCGAAUUUCCAGAUAGAGUAAACGCAAGCAUUGAUUCGAGCCAUUAUUUCGAAAAAGGUAAAAAAAAAAUUCAUUUCCAAAUUUUUUCACAUCGAAAAUACUUUUUUUUUACGAUUUUCAACGAUUCUCGAUUUCGAUUACGGAAAUCGUGUAUUCCCGCUCUCUGAUCCUCCUCGAUCAAUCGGGCCAGGUAACCGUCUACGUGUUACAAUUCGCAUGUUUUUGCAUGUGUUUCACGACGGCCUUAAAACGACUAAACGAUCGAGCAACGACCUCCUUACCGUAUCGCUAUGAAAUUCUGUCUUUGCUUCGUUCAUUUGCUCGAGAAUAAUGCUAUUUAUAACGUUUUUAGGUCUUGUCCUGCGAGAAAUAUUCAAAAGUCGCGAAAAAAAAGGAUAGAUUAAUGUUAUGAAUAAUAUUAUAAUAUUAUAGGUACAAAUUUGUACACGUAUAUCAUGAUAUACGUAUAAUAUAUCAUCAUAAUGUGUAAACGUAAUGAUGAUCAAACAAAAACGUUCUUUAAGCGAAUUGAAUUUGAAUGGAUUCAUUCAUUCAUUGUGAAUCUAUAUAUAUAUAUAUAUAUAUAUAUAUACUUUCUUACGUACUUUUAUAACCGAUAUUCGAUAAAAAUAAUGUCAAAAUUUUUCUUAUAUAAUGUUUUUUUAUACGCAUAUAUAUGUAUAUAUCUGUAGCGGUAAUAUAUAUUUUUAUUCUCAAUCAAAUUUUCUAAUUAAGUCCGAUCGGCUCUCUUUUGUAAAAUUUUUCCGUUCCAUUUGAAGUCAGUAGCAUUAUAAUGUCGGUAGAUUUGCUUGCAUCGUUUUCGUAGUUUCAUAAACGAUUCAUGUUUCAAUCUUAUGUCAUUUCCCGCACAUUUCCUUUCCACGUGAUUCAAUAAUACUCUGUAGCAGAAUCUUAACACAUCGAUUCAACAAGAUAAUUUGACCAUAUUAACAAAUUAGGCCAAUCACACGAAUGAAAUCAAUUUUAUUUUUAUGUUCUAAUUGAACACAUGUGAUAAUAUUCAUAGAUAAUCUUAUUUGCAAAUUUUCUAUUAAUAUGUAUGCUUAAUUUCUUGAUACUGUAUUAAUUUAAUUUCUUAAUGCAAUAUAGGAUAUUUAAUUAAAGUGAGAUAUCUUUAGAAAUAUCAAAAUAAUGAACAAACUGACAGAUAUAUUAUGAUAUUUAAAAAAAUCUGACGCAUACAUAUAUAAUCUCUGCGACAUACAAAAAAAUAUUUAUAUGUAUAUAUAUAAAAUAUAUGUAUUUCAAUGUCAUAUAAGAAUUUAAAUAUAUAAAAAAUAGAUAUGCACAUAUUUACGAUAUAUAAAAAUUAAAUUGAAUUAAAUAAAUAGAAUCAAUAUUAAUUUUAUCUAUUAAGAUUUUUAAUCAAUAGAUUAGGUGAAAAGAAGAUAAUAAAAUAAAUCAGAUAUCAACACCGUUUCUUAUAAGUCUAUAAAGUUUACAGAAUAAAUAUGGAUAAGGAAAACAUAUAAUGAGAAAAGGACAGAGAUAGGUUAGAAAUUAUGGAAUUAGCGCCAUCUCUAAAGUGCCUAAAUGAAACUAAUAUAGAUAAGAUAAAAAAGAUAAGAAUUGAUUUUCAACGUCAUCUCUCGAAUGCUCAAGAUAUCUCUUCGAAAGCAAUAUAAAAGAGUAUAAAGUGUAAAGUAAUAGAUUAAGGCUCAGCGUCAUCUUUUGAGUAUCAAAAACAAUUUUCCAAGAGUACUCGAGAGAUGGCGUUGAAAGCCAAUUUUUAUCUUAUUUUUAUCUUUCUUAUUUACUCUCCUUAUCUAUAUUUACUUACAAUUUUCGAUUUUUUCUAUUUAUUAUAAUGUUUUACAAUAUACUUUUUUCUUUAUUCCAAAGCAAAUCUUAUUUUGUAUUGUAUUAUUAUAAAAUAAAUUUAAAAUUUCUAUUUCUGUAA